rnacentral:tRNA from 1 species
GGAUCGGUAGCUUAGUUGGUAAAGCGCUCGUCUAGCAUACAAGAGUCCUGGGUUCAAAUCCCAACCGAGCAC